AACGCACGAGACCUGCGGACCUGCGGAAGGAUCAUUACCGAGUUUACAACUCCCAAACCCAAUGUGAACGUUACCAAACUGUUGCCUCGGCGGGGUCACGCCCCGGGUGCGUCGCAGCCCCGGAACCAGGCGCCCGCCGGAGGAACCAACCAAACUCUUUCUGUAGUCCCCUCGCGGACGUUAUUUCUUACAGCUCUGAGCAAAAAUUCAAAAUGAAUCAAAACUUUCAACAACGGAUCU
rnacentral:misc_RNA from 1 species